UACAGAGGGGGCAAGCGUUAUUCGGAAUUAUUGGGCGUAAAGGGCGCGUAGGCGGCUUUGCAAGUGGCGGGUGAAAUCCCUCGGCUUAACCGAGGAACUGCCUGUCAAACUGGCAUGGCUUGAGACCGGGAGAGGUGAGUGGAAUUCCCAGUGUAGCGGUGAAAUGCGUAGAUAUUGGGAGGAACACCAGUGGCGAAGGCGGCUCACUGGACCGGUACUGACGCUGAUGCGCGAAAGCGUGGGGAGCA
rnacentral:rRNA from 1 species